UACGAAGGGGGCUAGCGUUGUUCGGAUUUACUGGGCGUAAAGCGCGUGUAGGCGGACUUGUAAGUUGGGGGUGAAAUCCCGAGGCUCAACCUCGGAACUGCCUCCAAAACUACAAGUCUGGAGCAAGAUAGAGGUAAGUGGAAUUGCGAGUGUAGAGGUGAAAUUCGUAGAUAUUCGCAGGAACACCAGUGGCGAAGGCGACUUGCUGGAUCUUUGCUGACGCUGAGACGCGAAAGCGUGGGGAGCAAACAGG
rnacentral:rRNA from 1 species